UGAAAUGAAAAAUUAACUCGAUUUUCGGAAUCACCGAGUAAUUCUACAUAGGAAUCGGACAGUGGCAUCCAUAGAACAUUUUUGCUGUAAACCAG